rnacentral:rRNA from 1 species
GACGAACGCUGGCGGCGUGCUUAACACAUGCAAGUCGAACGGAAAGGCCCUGCUUGCAGGGUACUCGAGUGGCGAACGGGUGAGUAACACGUGGGUGAUCUGCCCUGCACUUCGGGAUAAGCCUGGGAAACUGCGUCUAAUACCGGAUAGGAGCCAUUUUUAGUGUGAUGGUUGGAAAGUUUUUUCGGUGUAGGAUGAGCUCGCGGCCUAUCAGCUUGUUGGUGGGGUAAUGGCCUACCAAGGCGGCGACGGGUAGCCGGCCUGAGAGGGUGGACGGCCACAUUGGGGCUGAGAUACGGCCCAGACUCCUACGGGAGGCAGCGGUGGGGAAUAUUGCACAAUGGGCGGAAGCCUGAUGCAGCGACGCCGCGUGGGGGAUGACGGCCUUCGGGUUGUAAACUCCUUUCGCUAGGGACGAAGCUUUUUGUGACGGUACCUAGAUAAGAAGCACCGGCUAACUACGUG